GAAAAAACUGAACUGCAAAGAAGGCGUACUUCUCUGCUUACGUUGUGGACCGAGGGGCAGAUCACUGAACACUGGGGCCCACUGUCUCGGUAACUGGAAUUCCAGAAACUGAUGGAGCUCUUCGAUUGGUGCGUAAGUAGAGAUUUAUGGCGUGACUCAAGUAUCCACUUCCUGAAACGCCAUUCAGCAAUGAGGUUAUUGGAAUGAAGGACAUUGUGAUGACGUCAGGCUCUAACUGUACGCUAUGCAACCACUCGUUAUGCUUUAGGUUCGGAGCAUCACUCCCGCCUCUCCUUUUGCAAAUGCUUACAAGAUCCUGCAAUCAAAUUCACAUAACGAGUUAAAAACACACACACACACACAUAUAGUGUAAAGAUCAAAUACAAAUGGGUCUUAACAUGAGAAGUGAAGGAAGGAAAUUUUUUAUUUUAUUUUUUUUGAAAUAUUUUUCCCAUCUACUUAAGCAUGAUGUUUAGUUGCAAAAUGU
rnacentral:lncRNA from 1 species